ACCUAGUAGUACGGAAUAGCCAUUAGAAAUGGUGGGUAAUACUGUAUAAUCCCCGAGGGGGAAAGAUUUAUCGCUAUUAGAUGAGCCUACGUUAGAUUAGCUAGUUGGCGAGGUAAUGGCUUACCAAGGCUAUGAUCUAUAGCUGGUCUGAGAGGACGAUCAGCCACACUGGAACUGAGAUACGGUCCAGACUCCUACGGGAGGCAGCAGUGGGGAAUAUUGGACAAUGGGCGAAAGCCUGAUCCAGCUAUGCCGCGUGAGUGAAGAAGGCCUUCGGGUUGUAAAACUCUUUCAAUAGGGAAGA
rnacentral:rRNA from 1 species